UACCCACUUAGAGCAAUGUUCCAAAGAAAAAACGAAACGCAAUACCAUCCCCAUUUCCAAUUUCCAUUUCCUCGAUAAACAGAAUGCCAAUCUCAUAUUCACUUUCACUCUCAUCAUCCAUUCUGCCUAACCCAAACCUCCGUCCAAUCCAAUUCCGAACCCAAAACAACCGCCAUUUCCCGAACCUCAGAAUCCGAAGCUCCAACCUAACCACCCAUACCUUACAGUUUCUAAAACCGUACCUAAUAUCACAGCACAAAACAAUCCUCUCCGGUUGGCUCUGCAGCGCUAUCUCCGCCUACUCACUCUCUAACCUUCUCUCGAAAUUCUCCGCCAUCACCACCGCCACCACAGUCGACGCCACACAGGGAUUCGCGCUCGGAGGUUUGGUUAUUGUUCGAUUGAUUGCAAAUUACGUGCAGCAUGCGCUUCUAUGGGAAGCUUCACUCAACGCAGUUUACGAUGUUCGUGUUCACGUUUUCGAUCGCGUUGUGCAGAGAGAACUUGGUUUUUUCGAAGCUAACGACGCCGUUUCGAGCGGUGAUAUUGCUUAUCGAAUCACCGCUGAAGCUUCUGAUCUUGCCACUACCUUAUACGCUCUUCUUAAUAUCAUAGUACCUAGUACUCUGCAAUUGUCUGCAAUGAUAAUGCAUAUGUUGGCUAUAAGUCCUGCCCUUUCUUUGAUUACAGCCACGGUUAUUCCUUGUAUGGUUCUAGUUGUUGCCUUUCUUGGUCAAGAACUUGGCAAGAUAUCUAAAAAGUCACAUAUUAGCAUUGCUGCUCUCUCAGCAUAUCUAAAUGAGAUGCUGCCCGCGAUUCUCUUUGUGAAAACGAACAAUGCAGAGUUGCUUGAGAGUGCCAGGUUUAAGAAACUAGCCCUGACGGACUAUUCUGCAAAGCUGAACAAGAAAAGGAUGAAAGCACUCAUUCCCCAGGUUAUACAAGCCAUUUACUUUGGAGUCCUUUCCCUGCUUUGUUCAUGUUCAGUGAUGAUUUCAAGAGGCUCAUUUGAUCGCCGUAGCUUGGUUUCAUUCGUGACUUCAUUGCUUUUCUUGAUUGAGCCUAUUCAGGAUAUAGGAAAAGCUUACAAUGAAUGGAGAGAGGGAGAACCAGCUAUUGAACGCUUGUUUGCUAUGACUAGGUUCAAAAAUAAGAUGGUUGAGAAACGGGAUGCUAUUGAUUUGGACCAUGUUAUGGGGGACCUCAAACUCUGUGAUGUCUCCUUUAAAUAUAAUAAUGACUUGCCUCUUAUCUUAAAUGGUUUGAAUCUUCACAUUCGGAGCGGAGAGAUAGUCGCGAUUGUUGGUCCAUCCGGGGGAGGGAAAACAACGCUUUCAAAACUUUUGCUUCGGCUAUAUGAUCCUACAUCUGGUUCUAUACUGAUUGAUAACCAAAACAUCCAAAACAUUCGUGUGCAGAGUUUACGAAGACAUGUUGGUGUAGUUUCUCAAGAUAUAACACUUUUUUCAGGUACAGUUGCUGAAAACAUUGGUUAUAAGGAUCUGACAACAAAAAUUGACAUGAAGAGAGUGAAGCGUGUAGCUCAAUCUGCUUAUGCAGACGAGUUUAUUAGAAAACUUCCUGAAGGUUAUGAAACCAAUAUUGGACCAAGGGGAUCAACUUUAAGUGGAGGCCAGAGGCAAAGUACAGGCUGGCUAUCGCAAGGGCUUUCUAUCAAAAUUCUUCUAUAUUAAUUCUGGAUGAGGCAACUUCUGCCUUAGAUAGUAGAUCUGAGUUAUUAGUGAGACAAGCUGUGGAGCGUUUAAUGGAAAAUCGCACGGUGCUUGUGAUCUCCCAUCGCUUGCAAACCGUUAUGAUGGCUAAACGAAUAUUUCUUUUGGAUAAUGGAAAGCUAGAAGAGCUGCCUCAAUCAACUAUGUUGAACGGUGACAUGGAUUCAUUGCUAUCAUCUGGGCAGGGGAAGGAUUCUCUCCAUUGACAUUAUGGUCAUGUGAAAUCUAGACCCUUAAAAAAUAAAAGGUCUGGAGGGUUCUAUAAUACAGAAAAAGGAGAUUAUAGUGUUUGAAUGGUGGAGAUUGUUUCGAUGGAGAAAACAAGAUAGAUUUUCAAUAGAGAGAAUUCAUUCCUCAUCUGGGCGUCUUAUUUGAAUAUGUUUUACACCAGUGAAUUCAUUUGUUUGCAUAUUUAUUACGAGGCCGAUAGUAUAUAUUCACAUAUAGUUUCAAAACUAUGUACAGUCUUUCUCUGUGCAUGUGAUUAUGUAUGUACACCCCUUCGUUCCAUUUUUCUUGUAUUUUUGGAAAAUCUGUUGUACAUUCUUCUUAAUCAUGUAAUAAUUUCCGCAAAGUGUCAUGUUCUUUUAAAUUAUA